UUUUAUGAGAGUUUGAUCCUGGCUCAGGACGAACGCUGGCGGCGUGCCUAAUACAUGCAAGUCGAACGCUUCUUUUUCCACCGGAGCUUGCUCCACCGGAAAAAGAAGAGUGGCGAACGGGUGAGUAACACGUGGGUAACCUGCCCAUCAGAAGGGGAUAACACUUGGAAACAGGUGCUAAUACCGUAUAACAAUCAAAACCGCAUGGUUUUGAUUUGAAAGGCGCUUUCGGGUGUCGCUGAUGGA
rnacentral:rRNA from 1 species